UACGGGGGGGGGUAAGCGUUGUUCGGAAUUACUGGGCGUAAAGGGCUCGUAGGCGGCCAACUAAGUCAGACGUGAAAUCCCUCAGCUUAACUGGGGAACUGCGUCUGAUACUGGAUGGCUUGGAUCCGGAAGAGGGAUGCGGAAUUCCAGGUGUAGCGGUGAAAUGCGUAGAUAUCUGGAGGAACACCGGUGGCGAAGGCGGCAUCCUGGGCCGGUAUUGACGCUGAGGAGCGAAAGCGUGGGGAGCGAACAGG
rnacentral:rRNA from 1 species